rnacentral:rRNA from 1 species
CCUACUUGGAUAACUGUGGCAAUUCUAGAGCUAAUACAUGCAAAAAAGCUCCGCCCGUUAAGGAACGAGCGCAUUUAUUAGAAUAAAAACCAAUCGGGYCUUCGGGCCUGUUUGUUGGUGAAUCUGAAUAACUUUGCCAAUCGCACGGUCCUAGUACCGGCGAUGUAUCUUUCAAGUGUCUGCCUUAUCAACUUUCGAUGGUAGGUUAUACGCCUACCAUGGUAGUAACGGGUAACGGAGAAUAAGGGUUCGACUCCGGAGAGGGAGCCUGAGAAACGGCUACCACAUCCAAGGAAGGCAGCAGGCGCGCAAAUUACCCACUUCCAGAACGGAGAGGUAGUGACGAAAAAUAACGAGACAGUCCUCUUCGAGGUCUGUCAUCGGAAUGGGUACAAUUUAAAUCCUUUAACGAGGAUCUAUUGGAGGGCAAGUCUGGUGCCAGCAGCCGCGGUAAUUCCAGCUCCAAUAGCGUAUAUUAAAGUUGUUGCGGUUAAAACGCUCGUAGUUGGAYGUGCGGUCUUGGGAGAACGGUCCCCCGAAAGGGCGGUCACUGUCACUCUCCCGGCCUACAUUUCGCGUCGUCUCYAGGUGCUCUUUACCGGGUGCCUAGAGUGACUCGUACGUUUACUUUGAAAAAAUUAGAGUGCUUAAAGCAGGCGAAAUAGCCUGAAUAAGGUGCAUGGAAUAAUGGAAUAGGACCUCGGUUCUAUUUUGUUGGUUUUCGGAGCCUGAGGUAAUGAUUAAGAGGAACAGACGGGGGCAUUCGUA